rnacentral:lncRNA from 1 species
CUUUUUCGAAGACUUCUUCUCCACCAAAGCGCGCCUUUUCAGCUGCUUGCGGUUCGCGCCGCGGCGAGUGUAGGUGACACUGAAGGCACUGGGCACGUGGCGAGGGGGAGAAAACAUCUCUGUAUAGAAAUCUUCUUCGACUUGUUCUUGCUGUUUCGGGUUUGAAUUUUGGGAAUUUGGGAUUUCUAGGGUUAGGGUUUCGGGCGCUGUUGGGGUUUCUUGCACUUGUUGCUUCGACGGUGAAAAUGAAUUGCAGAAGGCACUGGGCACGUGGCGAGGGGGAGAAAACAUCUCCGUAUAGAAAUCUUCUUUGACUUGUUCUUGCUGUUUCGGGUUUGAAUCUUGGGAAUCUGGGAUUUCUAGGUUUAGGGUUUCGGGCGCUGUUGGGGUGUCUUGCACUUGU